rnacentral:misc_RNA from 1 species
ACGAAAUUAAUUGUUAGAAAUUAACAAAUUUCAUUUUAAAAAUAUGAACAGCAUCAUCAAUCUUAAAAAAAAUUCUAAGCAAGAAAUAAUAAUUUAUCCAACUAAUUUAACUCAAUCAAUAAUCCAAUCAUUUCAUUUCGUUUGAAGGGGAAGAAAGAGGAAGCAGAGAAACUUUGAUUGUCAAAGAUCAAUGAUAGAUCUUCCUCUGAUACAAGCAGCAAUAAAUUGCCCAGAUAAAUUAGGAACAAGUAAAGAAAACCUACCAAUGAGUAAAUAAAGAAAACAAAAAUCGAAUAUUACAUAGGGAUUUACUGAACUGCUGCCUAAUUCAUCCAAAAUUGUUGGGUAGUACCUUUUGAAUUUUCUUAAUCCUCACUUUUCUUCUUUUUCUUCCUCUUAUUCUCCUUGCUUGGCAUCUCAGUUUCCGCUUCAUCCUGUUCGGCAUGCUUACGCUUCUUUUUCUUCUUCUCUCCCAUUUCUACAUUGUCGACAUCAUUUUGUACCUCAUCAAUCAGAGCUCUCUCUUUUUUCUUUUUCUUCUUUUCCUUCUUUACAGAUUCCUCAGAUUCUAGUUGAGCAGCACUGCCGUUUCCAUUAGUUACUAAAGCUGUCACCUCGCUAGUUUUCUUCUUCUUUUCCUUCUUCUUUUCACCUGUAAUUGCAGCUUCCUCAGCUUGAUCAGUCUUCUGUCUUUUGGGGACCAUUUCUUCCUCAUUCCCAGCAAUGGAGCUCAGUGUUUGCCCAAGAACAGAGUCUGCAGAAGGAUUGUAUGUCUUUGCAGCACUUAAAAGUGCCUCGGCCCCCUUCUUACGAUCCUUAUCAUAAGCUUCUAUCUUAGGUUUUCCCUUAGCAGACCCAGCAGAACGGCCCAAUUCCCUCCCUUCAAGAUUCCUCAACCGUGCUUCAAGCUUCACCCUGUUCUCCAAUCCCAUAGAGUUAUCUUGGCCAUCUCCAAGAGCAUCAUAUCGAAUUGCCAAUGCAGCUUUAGCAGCAAGUGAUCGAGAAAUUUUUCCCUUCAUCUUCGAGGAUGCCUGACCAACCAAAGAUGCAUGGAAAAGAAGCCCAUAUUUUGGAGUUGCAUGCUUUGUUUUAAGAGCUCUAAAGAGAGCUUUUUCCGCACCAAGAAUCUGAACUGUGCUCCCAGGCUGCUUGGCAAGAUUUAACAAGCUACCACCAUGGGCAAUGAGGCGAGCUCCAACUAGCUCUCCAACAAGAGCAGUUAAAUUUGGUGCAAUGGUGUUCAUUCUGCUUUUCAAAUAGUCAUAUAGUUGAGCUCUGUACUCAGCAAGAGACAGAACUUGGUCACAUAGAUCUCUUAUGUUCAUCAAAUCUACAUCACUAACUUCAGUUCCCAUGGAUAUCAUAGCUGCCUCCUUCAAUUCUGUCUCAAUCUCUUCUGGAAGUAUCUGCAAUUUUAGGGAGAUAAAAAGGAAGAAAAUUAAAAACAAACACAGCAAAUUAUCUCUUUUCUAACUGAAAAUUAAUACCAUUAAUAUCAUGUUCUAACAAGCAUUUCCAUAGAGAGAAGAAACCCAUCAUUCUGACAAUGGUUAGAAGAUCAAAUAUGAUUAAGGCAGUCCUGGAUGACUAUUUGGGCAAAGAUAAGUCAGUUAAUGUCAUCAGUCAACAAUGGACAAAAAGUAUGAAGAAACAGAUACUCAUACAGAUGGGCACAAGACAGAACCAAGCCCCAUAAGCACAGAUAAACUCAAGUGUAGGAAAUAUCACACGAAUGCCAUAAUUAAAUCAGAACUCUACCUCAGAGAAGUCAAGUUUUAUAGCAUUAUCGCGACUACCCAUCAGUUUCACUGCUUUCGCAUAAAGGAUGUUAUCUUGCACAAUCUUUGCAAGUUCAGGAAAAUGCCAACCAUACCAUUCUCUAACUCUCAUUGCAUAUGUGUUAAGCUCCUUAUCAAGAUCAUCUAGCAAACCAAUAGCUUGAAUAAUCAUUGUAUCAACCUAAAAACAGAAAAAUUAGCAAGAGAACACAACAGCCCAAAGAAAUCCAAAUAUUCUUUAUGAGACCUGGCAACAUACAACUACUGAAUAUCUUAUCCAGAGAAUUUUUGUGAAAGAUAGUUGAAUUAAGAAUCUUUGUCAGAAAAAUUCAUGGUUGCCUAACGGUCUUUUUCCUUGUGAUAAAACCUCUGUUAAGAAAAAUACCUGAACCUGUGGGAGGUCAGAGCAAGAAUCGAUCUUAAGGUUUAUUAUAAAUGAAUAUAUAAAAGAACCUGACUUCAAGCAUUCCACCAAGGAUUUCUUGAAUAAGUGACAAACAAGUAAUUGUAAUCAAUACAGUCAACAGCCAACAUUUUUACAUUAACAUCACCAUGCAACAAAUGAAAUACAAUUAACACCAUCACAGAACUGGAAACAGAAAAAAUGCACAGAUAAGAAGCUUCAACUAUAGAAAUAACAAAGGAUAAAUUUUAGAAUAAAUACCUUAUCAGGACUGAACUUCAGUUUGUACCUAGACAGACUGUGAGAUAAACCCAAGCUCAUUGGUGCCAAAUCUUGUGCACCUAGACCAGCUAUGAGUUCAGUCAACUGACUCCUAACACCCCUCAUCAAUUCCAUGACAGCGUUGUUGUGAACACAUUCUAUUUUCAGUUUUUCCUUGAUUGCAUUUCCAAGCUUUGAAUCAGCCACAGCUAAGGUUUCAUCCUCACAAUGAGCACGCAGAAACUUGCGGAGACCUUUACUAGCUGUGCCUUCAAUUAUUUUUGUUGCUGCUUCCAAAGCCUCUGAUGUAUUCUCAAACUUGGAAAAUGCUUUCAACUUGACCACCUUUCUUGCUGAGUCUGCGGAGGAAAACUCUUUCCAUAAGUCCUCAACUUUAGCUAGCUUCCCUUCAUCCAAAACUUUGAAGAGGGCAAAGCCCGCUGGCGUCUCAAACAACACAAGCAUCCUUCAAUGGCUCAAAACCGACCUCUUCAAAAAUGCGUUCUGGACAGAGGGAGAAAAAUUAAGAAGCCC